CCUACGGGUGACAGCAGUGGGGAAUAUUGGGCAAUGGGCGCAAGCCUGACCCAGCAACGCCGCGUGAAGGAAGAAGGCUUUCGGGUUGUAAACUUCUUUUAAUAGGGAAGAGCAGAAGACGGUACCUCUUGCAUCAGCCACGGCUAACUACGUGCCAGCAGCCGCGGUAAUACGUAGGUGGCAAGCGUUGUCCGGAUUUACUGGGUGUAAGGGGCGUGUAGCCGGGCUGACAAGUCAGAUGUGAAAUCCGGGGGCUCAACCCCAGAACUGCAUUUGAAACUGUUGGUCUUGAGUAUCGGAGAGGCAGGCGGAAUGCCUAGUGUAGCGGUGAAAUGCGUAGAUAUUAGGAGGAACACCAGUGGCGAAGGCGGCCUGCUGGACGACAACUGACGGUGAGGCGCGAAAGCGUGGGGAGCAAACAGGAUUAGAUACCCGAGUAGUC
rnacentral:rRNA from 1 species